rnacentral:rRNA from 1 species
UACGGGGGGUGCGAGCGUUGUCCGGAAUCACUGGGCGUAAAGGGCGCGUAGGUGGCUUGGUAAGCGUGUGGUGAAAGCCCGGGGCUCAACCCCGGGUCUGCCAUGCGAACUGCUAUGGCUUGAGCACUGUAGAGGCAGGUAGAAUUCCGGGGUGUAGCGGUGGAAUGCGUAGAGAUCCGGAAGAAUACCGGUGGCGAAGGCGGCCUGCUGGGCAGUGGCUGACACUGAGGCGCGGACAGCGUGGGGAGCAAACAGGG